CCUUAUACCUACUGAUAUUCCUGGCACAUGGAAGGCGAUGGAAGCGCUAUAUGAUUCUGGUAAGGCCAGAGCUAUUGGGUUAGCAACUUCUCCGUGAAAAAGUUGGGUGAUCUGUUGGAUGUAGCCAGUAUUCCUCCUGCUGUCAAUCAAGUGGAAUGCCAUCCUUCAUGGCAGCAGGCCAAAUUGAGAGAAUUUUGUAAAUCCAAAGGAAUUCACUUAUCUGCAAGAUUGGUUAGAGGCACUUUUGCUGUCCACGAAACACUCAGCCAGUACAGAACAGUUGAAGAACUGUGGGACGGCGAGGUUUGAGUGAGCUCAGACAAAUUAAUGGAGUUGGUUGCUUAUCAGUGCUAAGAUUUACGAACUUAUUCAUGUUUUUUAAUCAGUCCUUAUAUAUUUAGUCCAUCAAAUGUGAACUGCGCUUGUCCAAACGGCAGGAGACCUUAAAUAAGAACCUAUUGUUUUA